UUUUUAAACAUAGCAUAAAGUGAUUGGAUCAAGCAAGAAAACCUCCUUGGAAGAUAAGAAGAGAUGAAGCAUGAAGAAAAUGGGCAGAGGAGGUUCAGAAUAUUAAUAAGGCUGGAACAACGUGAUGCUCACAUGGGCAAAGGGAGCCCCGUUAGAGCUGAGGUUACACGAUGCCGAUGCUCCGCAAUUCAUAAAUCUGUACAGAGCAGGCCUUUUCCUGAG